AUGCACGCUGGCGGCGUGCCUAAUCCCUGCCAGUCGCGCGAACAGACGAGAGUGCUUGCACUCUCUGACGUUAGCGGCGGACGGGUGAGUAACACGUGGGUAACCUACCUAUAAGACUGGGAUAACUUCGGGAAACCGGAGCUAAUACCGGAUAAUAUUUAGCUUCGCAUGAAGCAAUAGUGAAAGACGGUUCUGCUGUCACUUAUAGAUGGACCCGCGGUGUAUUAGCUAGUUGGUGAGGUAACGGCUCACCAAGGCAACGAUACAUAGCCGACCUGAGAGGGUGAUCGGCCACACUGGGACUGAGACACGGCCCAGACUCCUACGGGAGGCAGCAGUAGGGAAUCUUCCGCAAUGGACGAAAGUCUGACGGAGCAAUGCCGCGUGAGUGAAGAAGGUUUUCGGAUCGUAAAACUCUGUUGUAAGGGAAGAACAAGUACGUUAGUAACUGAACGUACCUUGACGGUACCUUACCAGAAAGCCACGGCUAACUACGUG
rnacentral:rRNA from 1 species